CCUUGUACACACCGCCCGUCACACCAUGGGAGUUGGUUCUACCCGAAGACGGUGCGCUAACCGCAAGGAGGCAGCCGGCCACGGUAGGGUCAGCGACUGGGGUGAAGUCGUAACAAGGUACCC
rnacentral:rRNA from 1 species